rnacentral:rRNA from 1 species
UGGGGAAUUUUGGACAAUGGGCGAAAGCCUGAUCCAGCAAUGCCGCGUGUGUGAAGAAGGCCUUCGGGUUGUAAAGCACUUUUGUCCGGAAAGAAAUCCUUGGCUCUAAUACAGUCGGGGGAUGACGGUACCGGAAGAAUAAGCACCGGCUAACUACGUGCCAGCAGCCGCGGUAAUACGUAGGGUGCAAGCGUUAAUCGGAAUUACUGGGCGUAAAGCGUGCGCAGGCGGUUUGCUAAGACCGAUGUGAAAUCCCCGGGCUCAACCUGGGAACUGCAUUGGUGACUGGCAGGCUAGAGUAUGGCAGAGGGGGGUAGAAUUCCACGUGUAGCAGUGAAAUGCGUAGAGAUGUGGAGGAAUACCGAUGGCGAAGGCAGCCCCCUGGCCAAGUAACUGACGCUCAUGCACGAAAAGCGUGGGGAGCAAAACAGGAUUAGAUACCCUGGUAGUCCACGCCCUAAAACGAUGUCAACUAGUUGUUGGGGAUUCAUUUCCUUAGUAACGUAGCUAAACGCGUGAAGUUGACCGCCUGGGGAUACGUCGCAAGAUUAAAAACUCAAAAUGAAUUG